AAUGAGCAAAGUCAGAAUUUGCUUCUUUCCCAUUUGUUGCUCAAUUGUUUCACUAAUCUUCACAUCUUCUAACAAGUUUAUGUUUAUCAAUCCACAUGACAAUCUUUCUUCUUCUUUCAAGUUCUAGCAGCAACUCAGCAAGUAAGUUAGUAAGUACAACCAUAAAGUUCGACCGCUAAAGAAACACCACCACCGUACCACCACUACAGAAAACACCUCUACCGUCUUUCGUGGUUUUUGUUCUUGCCGAAACCGCAUAAGACCAAACUCUUGAAACUUGCUUUCGCGAAUACCCAAACAAUGAAGGUCGAUCUAAUGACGGAGGCUAAGAGUUCGAAUGAUGAUUAUUGGAGAAUGAGUGAGAUGAUUUGAUUAUGGAUGAUCCAAUGAGGUAAUAUUUAUGUCUAGCAACUGUAUUUAGUCUCGUAUGAGUGACAAUUAUGUCUGGUAAUUAUGAGUGCACGUAUGUAAUUUUAAUGUCAUGUUAUUGUAUCAUAUGUAUGUUCGUAUAAUAUGUUUGACAUUUUAUGAUUUAAAAGCAUGUUAUGUGCAAAAGACAUGAUAUACGAUCCCUUUUAAAUAAACGUAAACAUAAUCUGAUAUGAAAUCAUAUUUAUGGACUAAUGCUAUUGCUAAUAUAGGUAGUCCCCUUCAAAAUGCAUUUAUGAAUGUAUGAUUGUCUCAUUUCGACGAUAUGUAUAUAUAUGUGUGUGUGUUUCAAUCAUAUGAUUUUAUAUGAAUGAUUUUGUGAAUAUACGAUGUUUAUUAAUCUUUGGAUCUCAUGAAAGUAUAUUAUUAAUCUAUGAAUAAAUUAUGUAAAAGCUACACAACAUAAUAAAUAAAAGUGAAAGACCUAGUUUGUGUGGCAGUAUAUGUUAUGUUUUGAUCAUGCAAUGCAUGUACCCAUGGGGCACGGCCCAAUUAUGUCAAGCACCUGCUCUAUGUUAUGGGCACCUGCCCAUCGCGGAAGACGUUCCGCAAUGUCAUACUAUCCAGCGACUAGCAUGUUAAUCAAAAGGUUAUAAAUACAUGAAUUCUAUUAAAGGAUUUUAUGAGAACUCAUAAAGAUAUUGUAUUGAUGAGUUCUAUGAUAUAAUAAAAUGUAUGAUUGAUUGUAAAAUGUCUUACCAUUUUACAAGAUACUAUGAAUGAUUGUUGUUCUUGCUUCUCUUUUAACUUAUAAGAAAUGUAAACAUGAUCUGUUAUGACUGUGCAAUGGCUCUCUCCUGAGGGCACUGGCCCAUUCCUGAUUGGAGCAAUGGCUCCUCCUGACAUGUAAGGAGCACUGGCUUCCCCCCUGUAAGGAGCACUAGCUCCCCCCGAUAGUAGGAGACCUGUUAAAUGUUUAACGAAUCUGAUGAUUUUAUUUAUUUAAGUGUUAUGAAUGAAUGAUUAUGAAAUGUGCCAAUGUACUAUGAAUUUGUAUGAGGUAUAAAGUUGUUCGGAAAUGAUUUAAUAUGAUACGAUGCUACUUUUGUCGGCAUUGGAAAAUGAAUUGAACUAGGUAAAUGAGUAAGUCAUAGGUGGAGGAAAGUAUGUUAAUGAAAUGGGGAACUGUAACCCCACACAAAUGAAAGUUAUAUUAUGUCAAAAACCUGUACUUACCGAUGGUCCUAAGUAAAGGGAAUGAUCCUUGCCGACACAAGUUUAAAGAUAAUGAUACUAAAUUAUUUCUAAGCAAUUAUGUAUAUAUGAUAUGUGCUUAAAUGAUUUUGAAAGAAAAACUGUUUUGCGGGCUAGAGUAAUGUUACUGAGUUUUCCACUCAUUUUUGGAAUUUUUCCUAUGUUUUCUCUGUUUUCUAUUUAUGGAUAUUUACAGAAAUGAUGAUGACAGAGCUAAGUUAGUCAAAGGUAAAGUGAUUUAUGGAAUUUGUAUUAUUGAGGAAUUAUAGAAUCAGAGCCAAGAGUUUAUGUAUUAUAGAUUAUGAUUUAUCGAGAGACGGAUUAUUAUUUUUAUUUCUUGAAGUUGUAUUAUUAUUUUAAGGGAAUGUUUAUUAUUUAGGAGUAUGUUUAUUUGUGGGCUAAUAACUCACAAGAGGUUAUGAGAUUUAUCUAUGAUUGUUUCUGCUGCGUAUGACGAGUUAUGUAUGGUUUAGUAAUGUCAAUUAAGGUUACGAGAAGUUGAGGGCGUUACACAAUUACUGGAAAAAUCACCAAAAUAGCUCCGAAACUCGAAAUUGUAAGUUUUUUUGUUCAUUUUUUGGAAUGAAAAAUAAAUAUGAACCCUAACUUUUACUAG